UGUCUACCUGCUAGUUCCAGGGCUGUCUGAAGGUGUUGUGACUAGCCAGUGGUCCUGUCACGUCUUACUGAGGUUGUACCUGCUAGUACCUGGACUGUCUACCUUCUACCUGCUAGUACCUGGACUGUCUACCUUCUACCUGCUAGUACCUGGACUGUCUACCUGCUAGUACCUGGACUGUCUACCUUCUACCUGCUAGUACCUGGACUGUCUACCUGCUAGUACCUGGACUGUCUACCUUCUACCUGCUAGUACCUGGACUGUCUACCUUCUACCUGCUCUGGAUAGAGGUUUUCCUGCUAGUACCUGGACUGUCUACCUGCUAGUACCUGGACUGUCUACCUUCUACCUGCUAGUACCUGGGCUGUCUACCUGCUAGUACCUGGGCUGUCUACCUGCUAGUACCUGGACUGUCUACCUUCUACCUGCUCUGGAUAGAGGUAGUUCCUGCUAGUACCUGGACUGUCUACCUUCUACCUGCUCUGGAUAGAGGUAGUACCUGCUAGUACCUGGACUGUCUACCUGCUAGUACCUGGACUGUCUACCUUCUACCUGCUAGUACCUGGACUGUCUACCUUCUACCUGCUCUGGAUAGAGGUUUUCCUGCUAGUACCAGGGCUGACUACCUGCUAGUACCAGGGCUGACUACCUGCUAGUACCUGGGCUGUCUAGCUGCUAGUACCAGGGCUGUCUAGCUGCUAGUACCAGGGCUGUCUAGCUGCUAGUACCAGGGCUGUCUAGCUGCUAGUACCUGGGCUGUCUACCUGCUAGUACCAGGGCUGUCUAGCUGCUAGUACCAGGGCUGUCUAGCUGCUAGUACCAGGGCUGUCUAGCUGCUAGUACCUGGGCUGUCUACCUGCUAGUACCAGGGCUGUCUAGCUGCUAGUACCAGGGCUGUCUACCUGCUAGUACCAGGGCUGUCUACCUGCUAGUACCAGGGCUGUCUAGCUGCUAGUUCCAGGGCUGUCUACCUGCUAGUACCAGGGCUGUCUACCUGCUAGUACCAGGGCUGUCUACCUGCUAGUACCAGGGCUGUCUACCUGCUAGUACCUGGGCUGUCUACCUGCUAGUACCUGGGCUGUCUACCUGCUAGUACCUGGGCUGUCUACCUGCUAGUACCUGGGCUGUCUACCUGCUAGUUCCAGGGCUGUCUACCUGCUAGUACCAGGGCUGUCUACCUGCUAGUACCAGGGCUGUCUACCUGCUAGUACCAGGGCUGUCUACCUGCUAGUACCUGGGCUGUCUACCUGCUAGUUCCAGGGCUGUCUACCUGCUAGUACCAGGGCUGUCUACCUGCUAGUACCAGGGCUGUCUACCUGCUAGUUCCAGGGCUGUCUACCUGCUAGUUCCAGGGCUGUCUACCUGCUAGUUCCAGGGCUGUCUACCUGCUAGUACCAGGGCUGUCUACCUUCUACCUGCUAGUUCCAGGGCUGUCUACCUGCUAGUUCCAGGGCUGUCUACCUGCUAGUUCCAGGGCUGUCUACCUGCUAGUUCCAGGGCUGUCUACCUGCUAGUACCUGGGCUGUCUACCUGCUAGUACCUGGGCUGUCUAGCUGCUAGUUCCAGGGCUGUCUACCUGCUAGUACCAGGGCUGUCUAGCUGCUAGUACCUGGGCUGUCUACCUGCUAGUACCUGGGCUGUCUACCUGCUAGUACCUGGGCUGUCUAGCUGCUAGUUCCAGGGCUGUCUACCUGCUAGUACCAGGGCUGUCUAGCUGCUAGUACCUGGGCUGUCUACCUGCUAGUUCCAGGGCUGUCUACCUGCUAGUACCAGGGCUGUCUACCUUCUACCUGCUAGUACCAGAGCUGUCUAGCUGCUAGUUCCAGGGCUGUCUACCUGCUAGUACCAGGGCUGUCUAGCUGCUAGUACCUGGGCUGUCUACCUGCUAGUUCCAGGGCUGUCUACCUGCUAGUUCCAGGGCUGUCUACCUGCUAGUACCUGGGCUGUCUACCUGCUAGUACCAGGGCUGUCUACCUUCUACCUGCUAGUACCAGGGCUGUCUACCUUCUACCUGCUAGUACCAGGGCUGUCUACCUUCUACCUGCUAGUACCAGGGCUGUCUACCUUCUACCUGCUAGUUCCAGGGCUGUCUACCUGCUAGUUCCAGGGCUGUCUAGCUGCUAGUACCUGGGCUGUCUACCUGCUAGUACCUGGGCUGUCUACCUGCUAGUACCUGGGCUGUCUACCUGCUAGUACCUGGGCUGUCUACCUGCUAGUACCUGGGCUGUCUACCUGCUAGUACCAGGGCUGUCUACCUUCUACCUGCUAGUACCAGGGCUGUCUACCUUCUACCUGCUAGUUCCAGGGCUGUCUACCUGCUAGUACCAGGGCUGUCUAGCUGCUAGUACCUGGGCUGUCUACCUGCUAGUACCUGGGCUGUCUACCUGCUAGUACCUGGGCUGUCUACCUGCUAGUACCUGGGCUGUCUACCUGCUAGUACCUGGGCUGUCUACCUGCUAGUACCAGGUCUGUCUACCUUCUACCUGCUAGUUCCAGGGCUGUCUACCUGCUAGUUCCAGGGCUGUCUACCUGCUAGUACCUGGGCUGUCUAGCUGCUAGUUCCAGGGCUGUCUACCUUCUACCUGCUCUUGAUAACUGUGGCUGCUUUGGGACCUUGGAAUGUCUUUUUGUAUCUGGGGUUACGGGGAGCUGGGUUGGCGAUAGGACGGGGUGGGAGGCCUUAGAUCUAUUACCACUGUGUACGUACCGAGGGCUUUCUGCUAUUUGAUUUGUCGAACUGACACAAUGGUUUGGAAUAUCAAGACGCUUGUUUUCUUUAUUAAACCCUGUUUCUCUGCUGUAUCUGUUGACGUUGGAUGUGUCUCAAAUGGCAACCUGGUCCCUAUUAAGUGCAAUACACAGGGCUCUGGGUCAAAAGUAGUGCACUAUAUAGGGAAUAGGGCUCUGGGUCAAAAGUAGUGCACUAUAUAGGGAAUAGGGCUCUGGGUCAAAAAGUAGUGCACUAUAUAGGGAAUAGGGCUCUGGGUCAAAAAGUAGUGCACUAUAUAGGGAAUAGGGCUCUGGUCUAUAGUAGUGCACUAUAUAGGGAAUAGGGCUCUGGGUCAAAAGUAGUGCACUAUAUAGGGAAUAGGGCUCUGGUCAAAAGUAGUGCACUAUAUAGGGCUCUGGUCUACAGUAGUGCACUAUAUAGGGCUCUGGUCUACAGUAGUGCACUAUAUAGGGAAAAGAUUGCCCUUUGGGACGUUAACUUUAAUAAUGUGUCUGUCACCUGACUGAUCUGGUAGCCAUGGAAACAUCUAUGACCUAACGACAUUCUAUUAGACAGACUUCAUCUCAUUAUUACCCAUCUCUCUGGUCUGGUUGGCUCUCAUUCUGUUGGCCUAGACACGGCUAUCAUUUACAGCAGGGUUGGGGUCCAUUCCUCUUCAGGCCGUGGAAUAAUCUCUAUACCUUCUCUCUCUCUGAGGAGGACCUCUCCUGUGUGCUGUGACAUCUUUUAAGAAUCCAGUAGUUUUUCCAAAAACACUCAUUGAAAACUAAGAAGUAAAUGAGUAAGAAUGAAAUUGAGGCCAACCCUGUUUCACACUAACGUGAUUAUCUCAGCUAAAGUCUAGUUCAGUUCCACAUGGUAUAGUUGUAACACCUUUGUUCAUUCAUCUCAACCAGGAAUGUAUCACUCCAACACACCUCAACUGUAUGCAAGUAAUCUGUCUGUGUACAUAAACCAACCAGCUCUAUUCAUCACCUUCAAGCUUCAUGAACACUGUGUGUGUGUGGGGGGGGGGGGGGGGGGGUGUAGGGACCCAAAUUGUGUAUUCUCCACAAAAAUAUUUCAUAACGAUGAUACCAUGGAGGAAGCAUUUACAAAUAUACUUUUUAAAAGCAUGUUUCGGUUAUUCUUUUUUUUUUUUUUUUUUUUUACAAUUUUCUUUGCAUAAAUAUCAGUUUUUGUUUGGGAAAACUGCAAACUGCAUUUAUCUGUUUGGAAAAUAAAAAACAAAAUGUGUGUAAAA